CACGUAGGGGGCAAGCGUUGUCCGGAUUUACUGGGCGUAAAGCGCGCGUAGGCGGCUUGUUAGGUUCCACUGUGAAAGGCAGGGGCUCAACCCCUGGAUUGCGGGGAAAACCGGCAGGCUGGAGAGAGGCAGAGGAAGGUGGAAUGGCUGGUGGAGCGGUGAAAUGCGUAGAGAUCAGCCGGAACACCCAAGGCGAAGGCAGCCCUUCUGGGCCUCAUCUGACGCUGUGGCGCGAAAGCGUGGGGGAGCGAACGGGG
rnacentral:rRNA from 1 species